rnacentral:rRNA from 1 species
AUUGAACGCUGGCGGCAGGCCUAACACAUGCAAGUCGAGCGGAUGAGUGGAGCUUGCUCCAUGAUUCAGCGGCGGACGGGUGAGUAAUGCCUAGGAAUCUGCCUGGUAGUGGGGGACAACGUUUCGAAAGGAACGCUCAUACCGCAUACGUCCUACGGGAGAAAGUGGGGGAUCUUCGGACCUCACGCUACCAGAUGAGCCUAGGUCGGAUUAGCUAGUUGGUGAGGUAAAGGCUCACCAAGUCGACGAUCCGUAACUGGUCUGAGAGGAUGAUCUGUCACACUGGAACUGAGACACGGUGCAGACUCCUACGGGAGGCAGCAGAGGGGAAUAUUGGACAAUGGGCGAAAGCCUGAUCCAGCCAUGCCGCGUGUGUGAAGAAGGUCUUCGGAUUGUAAGGCACUUUAAGUUGGGAGGAAGGGCAGUAAGUUAAUACCUUGCUGUUUUGACGUUACCAACAGAAUAAGCACCGGCUAACUUCGUGCCAGCCGCCGCCGUAAAAC